GUCAACUUACCCUCGACUGAAGUCGAAGUCAUGAAGGAGCAAUCCUUAAUGCCUGGUUGAUUAGCCUCAGUGUUUCUGGCACUACGUUGUUUUUGUCAUAACACCCAUGGACGUCCAUCCUAAUCCGUGGCUCUGUUGUCUGUGAUUAAAUGUUCUCUGGGGUUAACGGGAACGGUGUUGCAGGCGUAAAAAGUAAUUACAACAUUGGCGAAGGAUGCCAAC
rfam:Youngiibacter fragilis 232.1 contig_96, whole genome shotgun sequence.